UAGUGCCCCCCCCCUUUUUUUUUUUUAACAAAACCAGAGCCAAUCAAAGCCAUGUAACAAAUCCACUGAACUUCAGGUUGUUGCUGUGUUGCGUUGCAACAUUUUGAAACUUCCCAGAACAAGGCUUUUGUCUGCAGGACGGAGCCAUUUGCGCAAGGCAGAGAUAUGUCCUGCUGCUGGGAGCAAGCUCUGUGCACACAGAGCUGCAGAGGUCAGUGCUCCUUGGCAGGCAGGAGCAAUAUGCUACACGUGUGUGCACACCCAGAGCAAAAUGCAUGCGCUUAUUUAUUAAAUUGUACCACCAAACCCUUCAGCAAGAGAAAGCUGUGGUUGCAAACUUGUCAAAGCAAGGAAACAGAAAAAGUAGGCAGUGCAGCUCUUCAGGGAAGAGGGCAUGAAGGAUGAGGGCUCUACGGACUGGAAUUUUCCUGGCUCUGAUGAUUUUACGGUGGAGACAGGUGAAGCGAAACCUGAGUAGGGUAACUUUAGCCAGAGAGAGUGAUAGAAAUAAACAAUAUUAUUCCUGGAAAGAAGGGAUAGUAGCUGUCCCCCUGCCAAAGUGCACUCCAGCCCAGAGCCUAUUAGCAGCAGAUUCCUUCCUGCGCUCCACCUCCCAGUGCCAGGGCAACGGUCCCAGGUUUUGACGUCAAAGCUGCCUUUUGUUUGUUGCACAGACCUUCCCUUUGCAGGCCGAGCAGACUGCAGCGCGGAAGCAGCGAGGCAGAGGGCUCUGCUGUGCCCAGAGCUGCUCUCACCACAAGCCUCCAAGGAUAACUCUCUUCCCGCAGUACCAAUUCCAACCCUUCCAGUGGAAAGAAAAUAGAGUUCAAUAUGUCUAAACUGUUUUAAUCCUGAUUGCCCUUUCACUAACCUUUCUGUCAACUUGUACUGUUUUAUCUUUUGUGGUUUUAUCUUGCGUUAUUUAGAUAGCAAGAUCUGCCAACCAAGGACUCUUUCCAUACACAUGAGACAAGACUGUAAAUCUGCUUUGGAACCAACAGGUAUAUUUGGAGAAAAUCCUCAGAGAGACAGUGAGAAAAUCUCCCAGCACUCCAGGACAGGACUCAGAUGCACAUGAUUUCAGAAUACUGGGAAGAAUGAGGCCUCUUGUUAUUAGGAAAUGUCCAAACUGGUGGCUUCCCCAGGUGAGCAGAGGGCUCACAAUGCCUUGGGCACAUACAACCAUCCCUUGGCUUUCCCAGCCACGAGCUGCCCUGAGGCACAAUGGCGCUGCCAGGGCAGGCUUUUCCUGCUAAAGAGGCUCUUAAGGAUGCAGCUGGAACAGUUGCUGCAAGAUUAUGCCACCUCUAAUAUAAAUUCAAUACUCUAUUCUGUCUCAUAGCUUCUUUGUUUAAAGGCCGAAGAAUUCAGGUAAAUGAACAGAGGUCAAGAAGAAAUGGAAAAAUGUAGUCACAUAAUAUGCAAAAGAAAAACAGGGCUGGUAAUCAGCUGCCACGUGUUUCCGAGAGUAGAUGCCAGCCUUCUCACAUGCUCAGUGUUAAGAUAUGACCACUUUCACAAUGCUUCUCUUUGACAGCAGCAAACCUGACACUAGCAUAACUAAUCCCCAGUGGUGCCCUCCUAUUCCCCUGCUGCCCAGACUGCCAGGCCCACCUCCCUCUUUUCCAGCAGCCCAAGACCCCUCCACACACAGCUGGGCUGCAGGCUCUCCUUUUCUUCCCUUUUGAAAGCUUAAAGCUGGGGACUUUCCAUAUCUUCUCUGUUUGCAGGAUUCUCAAACUAAUGUUUAAACUCAUGAUUUUUGCAUGAGUUUGCUGCUGGCUUUUUGUGUCCAUAUCCGAGUGCACAACAGGGCUGUUAUCUGUCGGGUGAGGCACAGGGCCAUCGCUGCUGGGAUGCAGCAUUCCUGGGCUAUUAGUAGUAAUGAGAUGAGCAGCAUAUGCUUCUGCUGGUGGAAAAAAAAAUGAAAAAAAGACCUUUCCAUCAUCUUUGCUGCCUGAAGGACAGACUUGGGGUCCUUAAUUCCUAGUAAAGCAUUAAUUUGUGACGCAGAGAAUGCAAGCUACCUGCACCCCAGCAGAGCCUGCUCACCCUAUGCCACACAAAAAGCCACGCUUCGCAAAGAACCAGCCUGUCUCCAGCCCUGGGGACACCCCGUCCAAGCCCAGCCAACCCAAUGCUGCAUGGCAGAGCUGUGAAGGGAGGCUCACUGAGGCCCAUGGAGUCAUGCUCCCUCUGUCUUUCAGCCAGACUCUUAACACACAUGCACAGAACCGUGUGUCAUGUUUCAGCUCUUGGAAGCUCCUUGCAGUGCUUCCAGGAAGUCCCACUGAACACUAGGGAGAGGCCCGCUGCCUUCUGCUGUCCCUCUGGUGAGCAGGACGGGCGAUCUGUUGAGUGCAGGCCCAGGGGUGAUGCCUGGUGCUGUGCCAGGCCCUGCCAGCUGCUGGGCCAAGCUGGGCCCUGCAUGCAGUACAACAGCAGGCUGGGCUGCAGCUCUCUGGCAGUGUGCCCCAGAAACAAGCACUGCCUGGGGAGUCACUGGGGAGAUACAUAGAACUUCAUGUGGCCUCAUGCAGAGACACUUUCUCUAACAUAAAGGCUUGAAAGAAUUGAGCCUUGGGGAUGACUAGCAACGUGAAGUUCGGUCACGCAGCACUGUCUAAAAUCAGGCUACAAUGAAGAAAAACUACUUCCUGGUAUUGAAGAGACAGCUAUUCCAGUAACUCAGCAGGGCCCUCCUGCUCCAACCAGGUGAGCAGCACUGGGCUCACUAGAGUGUGCUGAACCCUGUGCCAGGUCUUGGGAAUCAAUAGGCUGAAGGGCUGUCAGGGUGGAGUGGCUGCAGGGGCUACUUUUGGCCCUUAGGCUGCUGAGUCUGGAGAAGGUAUCCUUUCCAGGCUCUCCCCUGUCACUACAAGGGCUGGGAAUCAUCUUUUCUGAAAAAGGAAAGAAAAUCAUAGAUUCUUAUCUCAUUGUGGGAGAGAAUGAUCAAGGCAGAGGCUCAAACAAAACACAGUACCCACAGGGAGGCAGAAACAGGUCUCAAGACCAUAACAGCCACUGAAAGAUCUGCCUUCACUGAAAGAUCUGCCUUCAGAUCUUCUGGCCGCAGGGCAGGAACUUUACUGUGCCUUCUUACGCUCUGCCAGCUCCCAUCCCUGCCAGUUCCCAUCCUGUGCUUGGACAGCACAGGAGCAGCCCAUGCGUUAGCCAGGGGCCCCACUCGUAUCACUUCAUUUGUAGGCAUGGGCAGGGGAGUAUUUCUCACACCACACCAAAUGGCCACAUAGCCAAACAAAACUCUCAUCCUCCUCAGCACUAAGCAGCUCCUCUGCGUCCAGCUGCUGUGACACAUCACAUUCAUCCCGAAACAGGACAAGUGGCACGGAGCUCAUGCAGCUCAGGGCCACAGGUGCCUUGACUGUUCCAUCUCUGUCACACUUUUUUGCUUGAGAUGUUGGUGUAGAGAAGUAAGGAAACAGAAGUCCUGGGAGGAAGUGAGUCAGGAAACCUGCAGCCAUUGCAGGGGAAGUGUGACUCAGAGCACACGGUGCUCGCUGCUCCCCAACACCCUGGAGGAGGUGAUAAGAUUGUGCAAUCCCCAAGAUAGCUUGCUGCACAUCCUAAUUCUGCUGAUCCUCCCAGGGGAGGGGUGCCUCUGCUGAGUACUGUACAUUAGCUGAUUUCUUAGAAUGAAGUGUGACAGCUCCCUGUGAGCUCAGCGCGUGGGAGGGGGGAUGCUGGGCUGCCUGCCCGAGCUGACAGAGCGAGGAGCUACAGAAGCACCGAGCUUAUCGAGAGCGCAGCAAGGACCUGGCAGAAACCUCUUGUUUAGUCUAUUUGUUCUUCUUCUGGAGAGAGUGGGGACCUCAGUGUUUGAAAACCACAGAGGAACCAGCUAAAAAGCAGAGAGGAGAAAAUCUGAGAAGGAAAGGAGGGCAAAGGUGGUGGUAAUAAGAGGAGAAGAGGCGGUGUGUGGUCAGGUGGGCUGGCCAGGGGCAGAUGGAGGUAAACAACAGCAGGACAAAGAAGUCAGGUCAAGCAAGGGAAGCCUGAAAGAAGAGCAAAGCAGGGAGAGGGAGAAUGGAGAAAGAUCACAGGGAGAGUCACUUAGGACUGAUGAGGACGGCACAGAAAAAUCAAACAAUGCAGGGCCUGAGAGAGCAGAGAAACAUAAGCAGCACUGUGCUGAGGGAAAGACGCUGCCCUCCGUUCUGAGUUCUCAGCAGACACCAGAGCUGCAGUGUAUACUGGGGCCUCCGUUCAUUAGUAUAAGGGCCACCACUGAAAAGCACCCGGAGCCCUAUGGCAGGCAGAUGGAACAUGACAACAUGGCCCUUUGUGAGGACCAGCUCCCUGUCAGGAACACAGGCCUAAGUAGAGGCAGCACACACAGUGCCUCCCACCAGUACCUGGGCAGAGCCCAGCGCUGCCUGUGUUCAUACAGCACUUGGGGCAAAAGCACCUCAGGAUACAUCUGGAAAUUUCUACUGCACAAAACGCACAUGCCAGCUGGGCUUCCACGCUCCCUCCUGCUGCUCCCUGGAGACACAACCAUGCCUACUACAUUGCUCCUGCACACGUGCUGCAGCUGCUUAUGAUGAGUUGAAAAAGAGGCACUCACUGUUCCCAGAUGGACAGGGCUGGCAUGCACGUACACAGGAAGUAUGCAUGGGCCUUCAAAAAAUCCCACUGCACAGUCAGGAAGAAUCCUGGCCCAACUGCUCAGUGUCAAAAGCCACGAAGCCACCAGCAACAAGGCAUGAAUUAGGGAAACGCAGGCCUCUUUCUACAGAAAAUGCACUCUUAAGAAGGGACUGCUUUGUUCUUCCCAGAAAAACUUCACGCUUGAACUCGAGGUGUUUGUCCAUUUGAAGAAUAACUAAACUGUAUUUCAAGCACUGUUUCAGAGUCCUGUGUGUGCACAAUACAGAUACCACAGCACCUUUCAGCUCCAAAUCUGCCACGCUGUUGGUUUGGGUUCCAAACCCCAAGUGACCACAUCCAUUUCUGACUUUUACCCCCAGCUGUGGUGCAGCAAAGGUGCCGGCUGAGACUCAGAAGCUCCAAAGUCUGUUUGCAUUUCUGCCCUGAUUGGCUGGCUAUAUUGGGGCAAACCACUGCACACCCCCAGGCUCCUGGUCUCUCUUUCCCCUGUGCCUGCCUCCAUGGUAUUGAAUGCAAGGCUUCUAGGUGUGGGCUGCUGGACAGCAUAUGCCUGCAAUGUUAAAUGCACUCCAGACCGCAAAAAGCUAAAUGGUUCUGUAAUGGAAAUAAUAAUGAGUACUUGAAGUUUUGUGGCUGGUAUUUCUAGGACAAAUGUCACAGCUCAUGUGACCUAAUGUCCUAGGGCCCCAAGCCUAGGAAGAAAAACUGCAUGCUGAGGGGCAGGCAGCCUGAUCCUGAUGCUUCUACUAAUAGCAGUAACAUUUUUAUCCCAAGUCAAGGAAAGUUCUUAUUCCUCACCCAUAAAAACUCAAGGCUGUUGGAAAACCAGUUAGCAGGAAGGCUUUGACAGAUUUUGAGAUGGCUGUCAUAGGGUUAAUGAGAUCAUAUACUGCACCUCCUUAUUUUGCUGCCAUCAGUCUGUUCCUUAGAAAUAGAACAAUGAUAUUAUAUUCCUGUAUGUGUUUAUCUGUAAGGCUAGGGUACAAGGGCAGAAGCCUGGUAUCACGCUUUGUAAGCAUGAGUUAGUCACUCUGCCCGCUGCAAGCACUCUCCCAUCUUAUGGGCAUGGUACAAGGCCAAGGCUGUGUCCAGCAGAGCUUUUGUUUAAACCAUGUUCUGUGAGCCUGACUCAGCUGCUGACACCUCCUCACCACACAGGAUGCCUGCACGCUUUUGCAGUGGCUCUGGUUUUCCCUUUGAACCUGUGCUAAUAGCAAAACAUUAGGUGGAAGAGUAUUUUUCUAGUUACUGUUUUUCAAGAUGCUGCUUGGCCUCGAUCAAUUCCAAGAACUGAGGCAGUCAAACAAAAACUUUUACAGGCUCGUCAGCAGCACGAACAUCACUGCUCUGGCAACUUCCCACGCUGCAGCAAGAAUUUGCACGAACCAAAAUGAGACCACACGCAAGAGAAGGGCUGAGCAGAGAACUGCGAGUGGCAGCACCUUCAGCACUGCUGAACACAGCAGAGGUGGCAGGCAGCCUCUGGCACCACACGCUGUGCUUCUGCAGGAAACAUGCUCGAGUCAGAGAACCUCCUUGCUGUUGUUCAUCCAGGCAAGCAAGCAAGUUGUAGUGCUCACAUGGAAGAGAAGGGAAGACAGGGAGGGCCAUUGGCUCAGCUUCCUCCCAAGAGGGUACACUCCUGGACAGGCCUUGCACACUGCUGCCUCUUUGCUGCAGUCUGGAGUUGAGCAGCUGUGAACUCCUUCGGGGGCAGGAUGGGGGCAAAGCAUGGGCUUCAGCCAGAUCCCAGUGCUCCAGCCCUUCUUCCUUCACCUCCUGUGCCCAGAGAAUCAGUAAUUUCCACAAACUAUGGUUAGGCACAAAAACCAUCUUAUCAAGACAGCUCAUUGUGUAUAGCACCCAGCAGCAGCUACAAACAGAGAAUUUGACAUGCUCGGUUACCCAAGCCCCACUCAUUCUCUCCUCCUUUGUGUGUACCUUGACAGAUGCCUCUUCUGUCAUUCACAAUAGGUUUCAUUUCUAUCCUGGAUGAAUGUACUGAGGAGCUGAAAUUUGGAAGCAGACCUCCUCCAAAAUGGACUGCAAGUGUCCUCCAGCCUGACCAAAAGCAGCUUGAUGACCCAUGUCAAGUGGAAAUUCAAGUCAAUUUGAGGCAUAGAGGGAAAGGAAGGGAUUUCCUUCCUCUCUUGAAUAGGGAAAGUCACAUCACAGCAGAAAGACCUCUAGACUACUCUUUGGCUAACUGCAUCCAUGGAAAUAGCAACAGAAAUAUCUAUACCUGUUACAUUCUGGUCACUUUAAGCUGCUUUCUGGGUUCCAUCAGGACAACCACAGCCAUCAGACUCAUUAAAUUUGGCACUGGAGCUAUGGCUGAGACAGUCACAGCUGUGAAGUAACAGCUUUGAGUCAGCCUGAAGAAAGAAGCAAAUGAGCCAGUGUGUUUUCAGUGACCAAGUAAUAGUUGGUGUUCCCAGAGAGCAACUGCCUGGGAACCCCACAGUGUCACUGCAUCCCACAUUACAUGAGGCACCAGAGAACAGUGCUCAGUUGCAAUCACAAGCAAGAAGCCAAUAUAGCCAAUUACAAUUACAAUUAUUAACUGCAAGCUCCUCCUCCUAUCCAUAGAACAAACACAGACCCCAUGUAAAUGAUUUCAUUGAGUGGAAGGGAUUUUGCCCUAUGGCUCACAGAGUCUUCAUGUGGCACUGGAAGCACACAGUGACAAACAUUUUGUGCACCAGCACAAUGUUGCAAUUAUCCUGUCAUGGUAUACUUUAAUCAGCAUGAUUUUGGGGGAGCCUGUGGCUGGGAAGUUCCUGGAAUAUCAAAAGGCACCUCCCUCAGCCUGGGCAGGAGGCGGCCACCGGUGCAGUCAGUUGGCUGAAAAGCUGCUGCUGCUUCAGCUCUUCAAGGCAGGAAUAAAGAACAGAAGGUGGUCCCAGCAUAAAUCUAUUGAACCUGGGAUACAUGAAGGGUACGAUGUCACAUCACCUGCCAGAUGGGCUUCCAAACACCUGGCUGCAAUGAAUGGAGGCAGCCUUUGUUCUCUUUCAAAAGAUCACAGCUAAAGCUGGAUUCUGGAGCAGUGAGGGUUAACUCAGGCAAGCAAACAAGGGUUGAAGAUCAGCUCAUCUUUUCCAUUCAGACAGAUCCUGCUACAGAAAAUGCUGGUUUCUCGAUGCUCGGUGUCUCAGCGACUUCCAGGAACAGUGAGCUAAACACAGCUACUCUUCCCAGCACCAGCUGAGGGGGCGGCAGGGGAUGGAACACAGCCCUGUUCUUGGAAGGCAGGAAAAAAUAAGGUUCUGGCAGAGCUGUGCAAGCUUGCCUCUCCCUCCUCCCCUCCCCAGUAGCCUCUUUCAGCAUCUCUAAUUCCUCAGGGUACAGCUGCGUUGGUUUUUCCUUUUAUCAAAUAAGUGUAACAGCAAUGCAUGAAAACUGCAGGCAAUUUUCAAGCAGAGAGAGGUUAAGUAAAUCAAAUAAAUAAAUGAUAAGCUCAUCUUCACGAGCUCGGAUGUGCCCCAUGAUUUUCUCAGUUUAGUGCAUGACCUACUGUACUUCCUAACAUUUUUGUUAGAUAAACACAGAAAGCUACAGAACCAUUCAGUCCACGGAAACUAUUUUUGGCUACUUUAUCUUCAUGCAAUAUGAAUUCCAAGGGCUGAUUGGAUACUUGGACCUCUCCCAGCCUGGCCGACUGUGAAGGGAGCAGACAGUCAUCUCACUGCUAUUCUUCCAUGGAAACAAACAUCUUUUGGAGAUGACAAGUAUCUGGCUUGUAGGUGCAGUGCUCUGAAUGAGAUUCAGGGAACUAGAGCAGCCACCAGCUGCGAGGAAUGCAAGGAUAGCCUCAAGGUACACACACAAAAAUAGGAAAACAGGAUUCAGUCAGAGCUGGCUUCGUGGUUCCCCACAAGCUGCUCUCCAAAUAAAGACAGCAGCACUGAGUGGUGAACAGAGUUCGGAGAAAGCCUGCUUCAAAUCUUGCAGUCAGCAGCUCAGCUGGAUGAAAUUUCACCAUCUUUUAUCCAGAUGAAAAACCAGUGCAAGCCCACACGUGCUGUGGUGGUGGGCCCCAAGCUGGGUGCAGCUUGGCCAGCAGGCAGGGGAUGGAAGGGCACAUGGCAGCUCAGCCCUACUAGUGGUCUCCCCAGGCCAGGGCCAUGGCUUGCUGCCACCAAGGCACUGCAGGAGAAGCUGUUCCCUGAGAUAUGCAGAGCUGUGCCACAGAUAAGACUUGUCUCCAGCACAAUCAGUCUCUCACCUAUUACAAGUGUUACAUGCACUUAAAAUGCUGUGGCUUGCUAUUUUCUUUUUGGUGCUUUUUUUUUUUUUCUUCCACCUGCUGAACAAAAAGAAAAUGUAGUCCUGCAUGAUUACACAGCAGUCUGAAGUCCCCUGCAAUGCCAAGGCUGCAGGCACAUGCUUAGAAGACAAGCAGACUUCCUCAUUAUCUUCUGUGGAUUUCAGAAUUACAGAAAAAAAGCAAACACAACAGAAACAAACACAAGGAAUAGCACAGAAUGCAACACAGAGUCUGCAGCAAACCGUAAGCCCAGCUUUCAGGCUUCAAACCUCUUCCAUGUGCUGAUCUCUAGGUUCUCAGAUACCAGCUAUGAGACCAAAGCACUCUGCUGUCUCUCUGGGAUUUCUAAACCUACCAGCACAACAUGCCAUUCAUCUUUGGGGCCUUCAACUAGAAGCAAGAAGCCCAGAGUUGGGCACUGGGCUCAUUUUUAGCAGUACAAAACUGCUACUCGGCCAUAAAUCAACGUAGAUGUGCUGAUUUACAAUAUGUGAGAAAUUGGCUCAUUAGCUCUAAUUAAACAAAGGCCCAAGCCACAUGAUUUAAAUGUGAACAAGGCUCUUGAACACCCUGUUCAGCCCAGGAACCGGGAUUUGCUUGGUGCCUUCCUAUAUUUAGCAUACAGUAAUGUAACUGAAGCAACCAAAUUAGACUCGCAAAUAGACCGGUUUCUCAGUACUUAAUCAAGGACCUUUUCCCAGAACUGCAGAGGGCUGAAAUUAAAAGAAAGGAAUGCGUGGUAAUCAGCCCAGAAGGACAGAAGGAAACCACCAUGAGUCUGAAGUCCAAACAUGCACUCUGGCCAACUGAAUGUAUCGUUGUUUGAAUUCAAUGUGGCUGCAGAGCACGUCAGCCCAGGGAUCACACACAGCACGCCAUAGGGCACUGCCCAGGUAUAAGGAAUUACUGAGGAACUGCAGCUCUGGAGAUCUGUACAGAAGGAAGUGACAGAAAGACAGAUCCAGCAUACAGACUGCAAAAUGCAUACGAUGGGCAAUGAUCAGCGUGGCACCACCAAACAGCAAAGCAAGAAGAAGAGGCAGGAGCCCACAGCACCGCUCUCCUUCAAAUUCACUACUGCCCCUUUGGAUACCGACAGGCCGCUCUCAGCUCUCCCCGCAGCCUUCUCUUCUCCACCUGCACAGCCCCAGCUCUCAGCCUGUCCUCGUAGGGAGGUGCUCCAUUCCUUGGGUCAUUUUCAUGGCCCUCCUCUGGACACACUCCAACAGGCUGACAUCUGUCCUGCACUGAGGACUCUCCAUCUGGCUGCAGCACCCCAGGUGAGGCCUCAGCGCACAGAGCAGAGAGGCAGGAUCAGCUCCCUGCCCUGCUGGCCAUGCUGCUUUGGAUGCAACCCAGGGUAAGGUUGGCUUUCUGGGCCAUGAAGGGACAUUGCUGGCUCAAUGUCCAGCUGCCAUCCAACAGCACCUCCUAAGUCCUUCUCAGCUGGGCUGUGCUCCAUUCUUUCA